rnacentral:rRNA from 1 species
CCUACGGGAGGCAGCAGUGAGGAAUAUUGGUCAAUGGGCGCGAGCCUGAUCCAGCCAAGUAGCGUGAAGGAUGACUGCCCUACGGGUUGUAAACUUCUUUUAUAAAGGACUAAAGUGUGGCACGUGUGCCUUUUUGUAUGUACUUUAUGAAUAAGGAUCGGCUCACUCCGUGCCAGCAGCCGCGGUAAUACGGAGGAUCCGAGCGUUAUCCGGAUUUAGUGGGUUUAAAGGGAGCGUAGAUGGGUGGUUAAGUCAGUUGUGAAAGUUUGCGGCUCAACCGUAAAAUUGCAAUUGAUACUGGCAGGCUGGAGUACAGUUGAGGUAGGCGGAAUUCGUGGUGUAGCGGUGAAAUGCGUAGAUAUCACGAAGAACUCCGAUUGCGAAGGCAGCUUACUAAACUGCCACUGACAUUGAUGCGCGAAAGUGUGGGUAGCAAACAGGAGUAGAUACCCGGGUAGUC